UACGAAGGGGGCUAGCGUUGUUCGGAUUUACUGGGCGUAAAGCGCACGUAGGCGGAUCUUUAAGUCAGAGGUGAAAUCCCAAGGCUCAACCUUGGAACUGCCUUUGAUACUGGGAUCUGUGAGUCCGGGAGAGGUGAGUGGAACUGCGAGUGUAGAGGUGAAAUUCGUAGAUAUUCGCAAGAACACCAGUGGCGAAGGCGGCUCACUGGCCCGGUACUGACGCUGAGGUGCGAAAGCGUGGGGAGCAAACAGGG
rnacentral:rRNA from 1 species